rnacentral:rRNA from 1 species
UACGUAGGGGGCAAGCGUUGUCCGGAAUUAUUGGGCGUAAAGAGCUCGUAGGCGGUUUGUCGCGUCUGCCGUGAAAGUCCGGGGCUCAACUCCGGAUCUGCGGUGGGUACGGGCAGGCUAGAGUGAUGUAGGGGAGACUGGAAUUCCUGGUGUAGCGGUGAAAUGCGCAGAUAUCAGGAGGAACACCGAUGGCGAAGACAGGUCUCUGGGCAUUAACUGACGCUGAGGAGCGAAAGCAUGGGGAGCGAACAGG